CCCAACCCCUUUUUUCCUCUCUCACUUCGAUUAGACACAAUAUCAUCCAAAACAAACAAACCGAAGAACAUCUCCUCCGUCUUUUUGCCAUUUUCCCUGAAAAAGAAUGAUCAAUCAGUGUUAGAGAUCUUCUACAAACAGCCAUUUAUCUUCCUUCCUCUAAUCUUCGAAGGAACUUAGCUACGAAUUCAACUUGUUUGUUCUCUCUUGCGUUUUUUUAAGGAGUGCAGCAGCCAAAAUAUUUCUUGUAGCUGCCCUUGAAUUUUGUCGGAAAUGAGGGAAAUCAAGCUUGACUUUGUUUCUGUUUGAGUGGGUACCGAAAAUUCAAGCCAAAGUUGAAUUUAUUUUGGUUGAUUGGGCAUCAAAAAUCUUAGUGGAGCUUCUGAAUGCUGUCGCUAAACAAGGAGGAGACGACAUCAUCGAGGAACCCUUCUAGUGAUUGCGGAGAACCAGACUUAGCUUCUUGAAGCGUUCUUGUUUGUUUACAGAUCGGAACCAGUCGGGAAUGAUGGAAUAGCGGAGGUUAUUAGAGUUUCCAAAGAUGUUAUAAUGAGCUUAGCACGUUAGAGUUUUGUAGUUUUAUAUUAAGCCUUGGUAAUUGUAUAUUAGUCUAGAUUGUAUUGGUUAUGUUGGACUUCUAUAGAGACUUUUAUGAUUACUUUAUGAUUUAGAUAGAUGUUUGGUUUGGGAAUAGCUGAUUUAGCUAUAUUUUAGAACUAAAGACUCAUUUGCACAAGUUUUGGUAUUGAGAUUUGAGUUUUCUUCGGAAGUAAACUCUGUGAUGACCCUGUUUAUUCAGUCAAUGGUAAGUCGGGUUGUUAUAAUCAUAACAUUUUACUAGAUAACAACUUUGAUCUAUAUACUAAUUAGAAUAGUUUACUACUAAUUAUAAUCGGGUCCUAUGAGGUUCACACAUUUAUGAAAUCAAAUAAAACUAUGCCAAAUAAACAUAUGAUACUUAUUUGUAUUAUGGUAGUAGUGUAUUGCAAAGUAAGACAUGAACAAAUAUUUAUUUUCAUUAUGUUACUUGGAACUUAAGUAAUGCAUAUGAAGAUAUAUGUAUCUUCAUCGUGCCAUUUGCUUUAAGACGAAUGAGUGACAUGAGCAUUUUGCAUAUAAGAUACAUAUGGCCAGGGGCGGUUUCAGACUUUAAAUGCUCCAGGGGCACCAAUACAUGAAAGAAAUAAGAAAAUUUGAUUUUUAUUUUAUUAUUUUCAAUUUGAAUUAAUUUUUUAAUCAUAAUUAAUUCUGUAUAAAUAAAUUUAAUUAUAAAAUCAAAAUCAAAAAAAAAGAAAGAAAAUGAAGGGAGAAAGAAAUGGGGUAAAUCAGAAAGUUUUGAUUUUUAGCUCAUGUUCAUCUUCUAUACAUGGAAUUUUCAUCAUAUUUUUGGAUAGUAAGUAUAUAAUUGCUUUUAUAAGAGAAAAACCGACAAAAAAAUAAAUUUUU